rnacentral:rRNA from 1 species
GACGAACGCUGGCGGCGUGCUUAACACAUGCAAGUCGAACGAUGAACCCGGAGCUUGCUCUGGGGGAUUAGUGGCGAACGGGUGAGUAACACGUGAGUAACCUGCCCUGGACUCUGGGAUAAGCGUUGGAAACGACGUCUAAUACCGGAUAGGACCUUGGAUCGCAUGAUCUGGGGUGGAAAGUUUUUUCGGUCUGGGAUGGACUCGCGGCCUAUCAGCUUGUUGGUGAGGUAAUGGCUCGCCAAGGCGUCGACGGGUAGCCGGCCUGAGAGGGUGACCGGCCACACUGGGACUGAGACACGGCCCAGACUCCUACGGGAGGCAGCAGUGGGGAAUAUUGCACAAUGGACGAAAGCCUGAUGCAGCAACGCCGCGUGCGGGAUGACGGCCUUCGGGUUGUAAACCGCUUUUAGUAGGGAAGAAGGGCUUCGGCUUGACGGUACCUGCAGAAAAAGGACCGGCUAACUACGUG